GCUUCUGGUUCGUCUUCUCCGGCGAGGGCAGGCGACUAGGGUUUUGUGGUCUGGUGUGGGGGUUCUAUUUAUACCCUUUUGCCUUUUGAUCUCAACCGUUUAUUUUGUUUUAAUCUGGGCCAUCCGUUUUUUGAUUGAAUCUGGGCCGUCCGUGCGAUUGCAUCUGGGCCGUCCGUGCGCGCGAUUGAUCUGGGCCGUUCGAUCGCGCGUACGCGGAUCGCCAACGUGGCCCGUCCCCGGUCGACGUGGUUUUGCCACGUGGCAGGUCCUGGUUGGCCAGAACUGCUGACUGGGUCUGCUGACGUGGCUGCUGACGUGGCGCGCGUUUUUUUUUUC
rnacentral:lncRNA from 1 species